rnacentral:rRNA from 1 species
CCUACGGGAGGCAGCAGUGGGGAAUAUUGCACAAUGGGGGAAACCCUGAUGCAGCGACGCCGCGUGGAGGAAGAAGGUCUUCGGAUUGUAAACUCCUGUUGUUGGGGAAGAUAAUGACGGUACCCAACAAGGAAGUGACGGCUAACUACGUGCCAGCAGCCGCGGUAAAACGUAGGUCACAAGCGUUGUCCGGAAUUACUGGGUGUAAAGGGAGCGCAGGCGGGAAGACAAGUUGGAAGUGAAAUCUAUGGGCUCAACCCAUAAACUGCUUUCAAAACUGUUUUUCUUGAGUAGUGCAGAGGUAGGCGGAAUUCCCGGUGUAGCGGUGGAAUGCGUAGAUAUCGGGAGGAACACCAGUGGCGAAGGCGGCCUACUGGGCACCAACUGACGCUGAGGCUCGAAAGUGUGGGUAGCAAACAGGAUUAGAUACCCUGGUAGUCCACG